rnacentral:rRNA from 1 species
AUUGAACGCUGGCGGCAUGCUUUACACAUGCAAGUCGAACGGUAACAGGCCUUCGGGCGCUGACGAGUGGCGAACGGGUGAGUAAUGCAUCGGAACAUGCCCAGUCGUGGGGAUAACGCAGCGAAAGCUGUGCUAAUACCGCAUACGAUCUGCGGAUGAAAGCGGGGGACCUUCGGGCCACGCGCGAUUGGAGCGGCCGAUGGCAGAUUAGGUAGUUGGUGGGGUAAAGGCUCACCAAGCCAACGAUCUGUAGCUGGUCUGAGAGGACGACCAGCCACACUGGGACUGAGACACGGCCCAGACUCCUACGGGAGGCAGCAGUGGGGAAUUUUGGACAAUGGGCGCAAGCCUGAUCCAGCAAUGCCGCGUGCAGGAAGAAGGCCUUCGGGUUGUAAACUGCUUUUGUACGGAGCGAAAAGGCUCCCUCUAAUACAGGGGGCUCAUGACGGUACCGUAAGAAUAAGCACCGGCUAACUACGUGCCAGCAGCCGCCGUAAAAC